rnacentral:rRNA from 1 species
UUAAGUUAUUAAGGGCGCACGGUGGAUGCCUUGGCACUAGAAGCCGAUGAAGGACGUUACUAACGACGAUAUGCUUUGGGGAGCUGUAAGUAAGCGUUGAUCCAGAGAUUUCCGAAUGGGGAAACCCAGCAUGAGUUAUGUCAUGUUAUCGAUAUGUGAAUACAUAGCAUAUCAGAAGGCAGACCCGGAGAACUGAAACAUCUUAGUACCCGGAGGAAGAGAAAGAAAAAUCGAUUCCCUGAGUAGCGGCGAGCGAAACGGGAAGAGCCCAAACCAACAAGCUUGCUUGUUGGGGUUGUAGGACACUCUAUACGGAGUUACAAAAGUAUAUAUUAGACGAAUCAUCUGGAAAGUUGAAUCAAAGAAGGUAAUAAUCCUGUAGUCGAAAAUAUAUACUCUCUUGAGUGGAUCCUGAGUACGACGGAGCACGUGAAAUUCCGUCGGAAUCUGGGAGGACCAUCUCCUAAGGCUAAAUACUCUCUAGUGACCGAUAGUGAACCAGUACCGUGAGGGAAAGGUGAAAAGUACCCCGGAAGGGGAGUGAAAGAGAACUUGAAACCGUGUGCUUACAAGUAGUCAGAGCCCGUUAAUGGGUGAUGGCGUGCCUUUUGUAGAAUGAACCGGCGAGUUACGAUUUGAUGCAAGGUUAAGCAGCUAAUGUGGAGCCGUAGCGAAAGCGAGUCUGAAUAGGGCGUUUAGUAUUUGGUCGUAGACCCGAAACCAGGUGAUCUACCCUUGGUCAGGUUGAAGUUCAGGUAACACUGAAUGGAGGACCGAACCGACUUACGUUGAAAAGUGAGCGGAUGAACUGAGGGUAGCGGAGAAAUUCCAAUCGAACUUGGAGAUAGCUGGUUCUCUCCGAAAUAGCUUUAGGGCUAGCCUCAAGUGAUGAUUAUUGGAGGUAGAGCACUGUUUGGACGAGGGGCCCUUCUCGGGUUACCGAAUUCAGACAAACUCCGAAUGCCAAUCAAUUUAACUUGGGAGUCAGAACAUGGGUGAUAAGGUCCGUGUUCGAAAGGGAAACAGCCCAGACCACCAGCUAAGGUCCCAAAAUAUAUGUUAAGUGGAAAAGGAUGUGGCGUUACCCAGACAACUAGGAUGUUGGCUUAGAAGCAGCCAUCAUUUAAAGAGUGCGUAAUAGCUCACUAGUCGAGUGACACUGCGCCGAAAAUGUACCGGGGCUAAACAUAUUACCGAAGCUGUGGAUUGUCCGUAGGACAAUGGUAGGAGAGCGUUCUAAGGGCGUCGAAGCAUGAUCGCAAGGACAUGUGGAGCGCUUAGAAGUGAGAAUGCCGGUGUGAGUAGCGAAAGACGGGUGAGAAUCCCGUCCACCGAUUGACUAAGGUUUCCAGAGGAAGGCUCGUCCGCUCUGGGUUAGUCGGGUCCUAAGCUGAGGCCGACAGGCGUAGGCGAUGGAUAACAGGUUGAUAUUCCUGUACCACCUAGUAUCGUUUUAAUCGAUGGGGGGACGCAGUAGGAUAGGCGAAGCGUGCUAUUGGAUUGCACGUCCAAGCAGUAAGACUGAGUGUUAGGCAAAUCCGGCACUCAUAAGGUCAAGCUGUGAUGGGGAGAGGAAAUUGUUUCCUCGAGUCGUUGAUUUCACACUGCCAAGAAAAGCCUCUAGAUAGAUAACAGGUGCCCGUACCGCAAACCGACACAGGUAGUCAAGAUGAGAAUUCUAAGGUGAGCGAGCGAACUCUCGUUAAGGAACUCGGCAAAAUGACCCCGUAACUUCGGGAGAAGGGGUGCUCUUUAGGGUUAACGCCCAGAAGAGCCGCAGUGAAUAGGCCCAAGCGACUGUUUAUCAAAAACACAGGUCUCUGCUAAACCGUAAGGUGAUGUAUAGGGGCUGACGCCUGCCCGGUGCUGGAAGGUUAAGAGGAGUAGUUAGCUUAUGCGAAGCUACGAAUCGAAGCCCCAGUAAACGGCGGCCGUAACUAUAACGGUCCUAAGGUAGCGAAAUUCCUUGUCGGGUAAGUUCCGACCCGCACGAAAGGCGUAACGAUUUGGGCACUGUCUCAACGAGAGACUCGGUGAAAUCAUAGUACCUGUGAAGAUGCAGGUUACCCGCGACAGGACGGAAAGACCCCGUGGAGCUUUACUGUAGCCUGAUAUUGAAAUUCGGCACAGCUUGUACAGGAUAGGUAGGAGCCUUUGAAACGUGAGCGCUAGCUUACGUGGAGGCAUUGGUGGGAUACUACCCUAGCUGUGUUGGCUUUCUAACCCGCACCACUUAUCGUGGUGGGAGACAGUGUCAGGUGGGCAGUUUGACUGGGGCGGUCGCCUCCUAAAAGGUAACGGAGGCGCUCAAAGGUUCCCUCAGAAUGGUUGGAAAUCAUUCAUAGAGUGUAAAGGCAUAAGGGAGCUUGACUGCGAGACUUACAAGUCGAGCAGGGUCGAAAGACGGACUUAGUGAUCCGGUGGUUCCGCAUGGAAGGGCCAUCGCUCAACGGAUAAAAGCUACCCCGGGGAUAACAGGCUUAUCUCCCCCAAGAGUUCACAUCGACGGGGAGGUUUGGCACCUCGAUGUCGGCUCAUCGCAUCCUGGGGCUGUAGUCGGUCCCAAGGGUUGGGCUGUUCGCCCAUUAAAGCGGUACGCGAGCUGGGUUCAGAACGUCGUGAGACAGUUCGGUCCCUAUCCGUCGUGGGCGUAGGAAAUUUGAGAGGAGCUGUCCUUAGUACGAGAGGACCGGGAUGGACAUACCUCUGGUGUACCAGUUGUCGUGCCAACGGCAUAGCUGGGUAGCUAUGUAUGGACGGGAUAAGUGCUGAAAGCAUCUAAGCAUGAAGCCCCCCUCAAGAUGAGAUUUCCCAACUUCGGUUAUAAGAUCCCUCAAAGAUGAUGAGGUUAAUAGGUUCGAGGUGGAAGCGUGGUGACACGUGGAGCUGACGAAUACUAAUCGAUCGAAGACUUAAUCAA